rnacentral:rRNA from 1 species
CAAUAGCGUAUAUUAAAGUUGUUGCAGUUAAAAAGCUCGUAGUUGGAUUUGUGGCGUACGGUGGGUUCCGGGCACUUGUUGUCUGAGUAACUUGCUGUUGCCAUCCUUGGGUGGAACCUGUGUGGCAUUAGGUUGUCGUGCAGGGGAUGCCCAUCAUUUACUAUGAAAAAAUUAGAGUGUUCAAAGCAGGCUUAUGCCGUUGAAUAUAUUAGCAUGGAAUAAUGAGAUAGGACUUUUUUGCUAUUUUGUUGGUUUGCGCAAAGAGGUAAUGAUUAAUAGGGACAGUUGGGGGUAUUCGUAUUCCAUUGUCAGAGGUGAAAUUCUUGGAUUUUUGGAAGACGAACUACUGCGAAAGCAUUUACCAAGGAUGUUUUCAUUAA